UGGGGAAUCUUGGACAAUGGGGGCAACCCUGAUCCAGCCAUGCCGCGUGAGUGAUGAAGGCCUUAGGGUCGUAAAGCUCUUUCGCCUGUGAAGAUAAUGACGGUAGCAGGUAAAGAAACCCCGGCUAACUCCGUGCCAGCAGCCGCGGUAAUACGGAGGGGGUUAGCGUUGUUCGGAAUUACUGGGCGUAAAGCGCACGUAGGCGGACCAGAAAGUUGGGGGUGAAAUCCCGGGGGCUCAACCCCGGAACUGCCUCCAAAACUAUUGGUCUAGAGUUCGAGAGAGGUGAGUGGAAUUCCAAGUGUAGAGGUGAAAUUCGUAGAUAUUUGGAGGAACACCAGUGGCGAAGGCGGCUCACUGGCUCGAUACUGACGCUGAGGUGCGAAAGUGUGGGGAGCAAACAGGAUUAGAUACCCUGGUAGUCCACACCGUAAAACGAUGAAUGCCAGUCGUCGGGUAGCAUGCUAUUCGGUGACACACCUAACGGAUUAAGCAUUCCCGGCCUGGGGAGUACGGUCGCAAGAUUAAAACCUCAAAGGAAUUG
rnacentral:rRNA from 1 species